AGAAAAUGGGAGCUUUACAGUGGAGAAGCUUUGCAGUAAUCAGAGCAGACAUAGAAGUGUGCCAGCUAAUAGGAUACACUAAGAAGAACAUGGCCUCACUUCUGUGAUGUUUUUGCUAAAGAUGCAUACCCUAAAUCUAAGUAUGAGGAAGCAUUAAGCUAACUCUGAUAACAGGGAUGUGCUACAAAAUUAAGUGAACUGCAAUCUUUAAAAGUGUCAAGGUUAUGAAAAUUAAGAAAACAUUGAAUAACUGUAACCCAGAGUGAAGGAGAUAGAGAAACAGGAUAAUUAAAUGUAGUUCAUGAAUCAUUAUGCUCAUAAAGGAUAUCUUUGGGAAAUUGUCAAAACCUGAAAUGGGGUCUGGGAAUUGGAUACAGUAGUGUACCCCAGUGUUCCUGAUUUUUAAUAGUUGUUAACUGGUUAUGUAGGAUAAUUUCUCUGUAGGAAAUAUAUAUAGAAAGUAUUUAUGGGUGUACUGGGCAGCAUGUUGGCAACUUACUCUCACAUCAAAAAAAAAGUGUUCUGUACUCAGAAAUUUUUUGUAACUUGGAGACUGUUUCUUCCAAACAAGUUGAAGACCAGCUAUUUCUGAAGGAUUGACUUCUUCUUCUGUUGGUGGUUUUCAGGUGGCCAGUAGUUAAAGGGAGACACAUUUUGUGUUGCUGUACAAAUGCUAUUAAGAGGAGCCUCUGUAAUCAGUCCUGUUUUGUGAAUUAUAUAUGGAAAUGCAGGUACUCAGAAAGUUUACAUACAAAAAUGUGCCUUUCAGCUUUGUAGAGCUGUGUAUGUAUAUGUGUGACUGUGUGUGCACGCAUGCGUGCAC
rnacentral:lncRNA from 1 species